rnacentral:rRNA from 1 species
UACGAAGGGGGCUAGCGUUGUUCGGAUUUACUGGGCGUAAAGCGUGCGCAGGCGGUUGUGCAAGACAGAUGUGAAAUCCCCGGGCUUAACCUGGGAACUGCAUUUGUGACUGCACGGCUAGAGUGUGUCAGAGGGGGGUAGAAUUCCACGUGUAGCAGUGAAAUGCGUAGAUAUGUGGAGGAAUACCGAUGGCGAAGGCAGCCCCCUGGGAUAACACUGACGCUCAUGCACGAAAGCGUGGGGAUCAAACAGG